AUCAUUUAUAUCUCCAUUCUUUUAACAGAGCUUCCCACAGUAGUGACGAAGUUGAAAGAAGUGAUUGGACAAAUAACACUUCAGACCUCACCUACUGCAUCCACUUCUGCAACACCUUCAACAUCAGUAGACUCUGCAUGUGUUUCUCCUCAAGUGUUGUCUGAUGAUAUGGUGUUUCUCAUGCCAGGCUGUGAUGUCAAGGUCCCCAAGCGAAAGCUUAACUCGCUGCGGACGGCAAAUCUGUCAGUAUACAUCGGGGACCUUGCCGUGCUUGUCUAUGGAAGGGAAACCCUGUCUCAUUCAAGCUUGACAGGAAGACAGUCAGGGGCACACAAAGAUGUGGAAUCAAAGCCACAGCUUGAUAGCACAAAACUUGAUGCUAUAUUUGACCAUGCUCUGUCAAAGUUCCCUGACAUCACCAUGCAAGAUGUGAGACGCAUCAUAAGAAAAAAAAUGCAACAACGAAAACUACAUCAAGCAAGCUACUGCAAAGAAGCCCAUUUGAAUAGAACAUUUUUGUUGUCAUAUAUUUGAACAAUUAUUGUUUGGAUUUGUAGUUUCUUUAGGAACUGAUAUCUUGUAUGACACUACCGUAAACAUUGUGUUUACUGUUUUAUUUUGAACUGGAGUAUAAAUGUGAGUGUCAUUGUUAUUUUAAGUUUAUGUGGAAUCCUAUACAAUAGAUUUGUUUGAAAU